rnacentral:rRNA from 1 species
GAUGAACGCUAGCGGCGGGCUUAACACAUGCAAGUCGAGGGGCAGCAUGACACGGAGAUUCGUCGAAGUGUUGAUGGCGACCGGCGUACGGGUGCGUAACGCGUAUCCAACCUUCCCGUUACUCUUGGAUAGCCUUCCGAAAGGGAGAUUAAUACAAGAUGGUAUUCAAAUUCCGCAUGUUAUUUGAAUUAAAGAUUUAUCGGUAACGGAUGGGGAUGCGUGACAUUAGAUAGUAGGCGGGGUAACGGCCCACCUAGUCUACGAUGUCUAGGGGUUCUGAGAGGAAGGUCCCCCACACUGGAACAGAGACACGGUCCAGACUCCUACGGGAGGCAGCAGUGAGGAAUAUUGGUCAAUGGUCGGAAGACUGAACCAGCCAAGUAGCGUGAAGGAUGAAGGUUCUAUGGAUUGUAAACUUCUUUUAUACGGGAAUAAAACCACCUACGUGUAGGUGCUUGUAUGUACCGUAUGAAUAAGCAUCGGCUAACUCCGUGCCAGCCGCCGCAGUAAGAC